rnacentral:rRNA from 1 species
AGUGAACGCUGGCGGUAGGCCUAACACAUGCAAGUCGAACGGCAGCACAGUAAGAGCUUGCUCUUACGGGUGGCGAGUGGCGGACGGGUGAGGAAUACAUCGGAAUCUACUUUUUCGUGGGGGAUAACGUAGGGAAACUUACGCUAAUACCGCAUAUGACCUACGGGUGAAAGCAGGGGAUCUUCGGACCUUGCGCGAUUGGAUGAGCCGAUGUCGGAUUAGCUAGUUGGCGGGGUAAAGGCCCACCAAGGCGACGAUCCGUAGCUGGUCUGAGAGGAUGAUCAGCCACACUGGAACUGAGACACGGUCCAGACUCCUACGGGAGGCAGCAGUGGGGAAUAUUGGACAAUGGGCGCAAGCCUGAUCCAGCCAUACCGCGUGGGUGAAGAAGGCCUUCGGGUUGUAAAGCCCUUUUGUUGGGAAAGAAAAGCAGCAGGUUAAUACCCCGCUGUUCUGACGGUACCCAAAGAAUAAGCACCGGCUAACUUCGUG